GGGGUUGUGGCUCAGUGGUAGAGUGCUCGCCUGACAUGCGUGAGGCACUGGGUUCUAUCCUCAGCACCACA
rnacentral:tRNA from 1 species